rnacentral:rRNA from 1 species
CGAAGCUGCGGCAGCGAACGUAUCACCCAAGACAACUUUACGGAGUUGACGAUUGACGGAGCGAAGCGACGUCAAAGCGUUCAUUAAAGUCGAGUUGGCUUAGGGAUACGUUCGUUGGGUAGGGGAGCGUUCUGUAAGCCUGUGAAGGUGUGUCGUGAGGCAUGCUGGAGGUAUCAGAAGUGCGAAUGCUGACAUAAGUAACGAUAAAGCGGGUGAAAAGCCCGCUCGCCGGAAGACCAAGGGUUCCUGUCCAACGUUAAUCGGGGCAGGGUGAGUCGACCCCUAAGGCGAGGCCGAAAGGCGUAGUCGAUGGGAAACGGGUUAAUAUUCCCGUACUUGGUGUUACUGCGAAGGGGGGACGGAGAAGGCUAUGUUGGCCGGGCGACGGUUGUCCCGGUUUAAGCGUGUAGGUGUGUGUUCCAGGUAAAUCCGGUUCACUUUAACACUGAGGCGUGACGACGAGGCACUACGGUGCUGAAGCAACAAAUGCCCUGCUUCCAGGAAAAGCCUCUAAGCAUCAGGUAACAUCAAAUCGUACCCCAAACCGACACAGGUGGUCAGGUAGAGAAUACCAAGGCGCUUGAGAGAACUCGGGUGAAGGAACUAGGCAAAAUGGUGCCGUAACUUCGGGAGAAGGCACGCUGACACGUAGGUGAAGUGAUUUACUCAUGGAGCUGAAGUCAGUCGAAGAUACCAGCUGGCUGCAACUGUUUAUUAAAAACACAGCACUGUGCAAACACGAAAGUGGACGUAUACGGUGUGACGCCUGCCCGGUGCCGGAAGGUUAAUUGAUGGGGUCAGCGCAAGCGAAGCUCCUGAUCGAAGCCCCGGUAAACGGCGGCCGUAACUAUAACGGUCCUAAGGUAGCGAAAUUCCUUGUCGGGUAAGUUCCGACCUGCACGAAUGGCGUAAUGAUGGCCAGGCUGUCUCCACCCGAGACUCAGUGAAAUUGAACUCGCUGUGAAGAUGCAGUGUACCCGCGGCAAGACGGAAAGACCCCGUGAACCUUUACUAUAGCUUGACACUGAACAUUGAGCCUUGAUGUGUAGGAUAGGUGGGAGGCUUUGAAGUGUGGACGCCAGUCUGCAUGGAGCCGACCUUGAAAUACCACCCUUUAAUGUUUGAUGUUCUAACGUGGACCCGUAAUCCGGGUUGCGGACAGUGUCUGGUGGGUAGUUUGACUGGGGCGGUCUCCUCCUAAAGAGUAACGGAGGAGCACGAAGGUUGGCUAAUCCUGGUCGGACAUCAGGAGGUUAGUGCAAUGGCAUAAGCCAGCUUGACUGCGAGCGUGACGGCGCGAGCAGGUGCGAAAG